rnacentral:rRNA from 1 species
UACGUAGGGGGCAAGCGUUGUCCGGAUUUAUUGGGCGUAAAGCGCGUGUAGGCGGCCUGACAGGUCCGUUGUGAAAACUGGAGGCUCAACCUCCAGCUGUCGAUGGAAACCUUCAGGCUAGAGUCCGGAAGAGGAGAGUGGAAUUCCCGGUGUAGCGGUGAAAUGCGCAGAUAUCAGGAAGAACACCCGUGGCGAAGGCGGCUCUCUGGGACGGUACUGACGCUGAGACGCGAAAGCGUGGGGAGCGAACAGG